AGCCGGUCAGCUUCUCUCGCGCCUCUCGGCUCUCUCCUCGCGCCGCGCUCUAACUCUCCUCCUCUUUCUCUUCCGCUCGGCGAGCCGCGAAAAAAUCGCGCAGCGGCACGAGAGAUACACGCCGGUAAAAAUACUGUGUGUUCCACUGUCAGUUGCGAAUAGCGAUCGGAACUCAUCGUUCUCUCCCUCGAGCGUCUUCUCGCGCAUCCCCCGAGACAGGAGGAUAUCAAUCCAUAUCUCCGCGAUAUAGUCGAGUGCCCGAGUCGCGUUGAAGCUCGCGUGCGCGCGCGCGAAGCGACGCGGAUUCGCGCGACGAGCGGAAACCGGUUGUUUUACAAUGCUUCUAACAAACUGCUCUUUCCGCGUCCCGCGCAUCUCCUCGCGCGUGUCUUAAAACGCGCGACACGUUGACGUGCGGAAGAGAGAUAUUCCGAGUUGGUCGGACGUGCGAAGCGCACGUUUGGAGAACGCGUGCUUCCUCGGGCAACGAUAAGCGAGCGCGAAACGAGUAACGAGUCGGAGAACAUCGGUGCUAAUAGAAGCAGUGAGUUUUCUUCUGCUAUCAAAACAAUAUUUUGACGCUGAUACAUUUUCUCCGUUCGGUCAGAAAACAUAGUAGAGCUGGCGGCUGUCACAAGAAGCGCGUCGUCGGACGACGGCGUGCCAAGUCCGGGGGUGGCCGCGGGACAAGCGAAACCAAGUGAGCCGAGGGUUGGGAUACCAU